GACGAACGCUGGCGGCGUGCUUAACACAUGCGAGUCGAACGGAAAGGCCCUGCUUUUGUGGGGUGCUCGAGUGGCGAACGGGUGAGUAACACGUGAGUAACCUGCCCUUGACUUUGGGAUAACUUCAGGAAACUGGGGCUAAUACCGGAUAGGAGCUCCUGCUGCAUGGUGGGGGUUGGAAAGUUUCGGCGGUUGGGGAUGGACUCGCGGCUUAUCAGCUUGUUGGUGGGGUAGUGGCUUACCAAGGCUUUGACGGGUAGCCGGCCUGAGAGGGUGACCGGCCACAUUGGGACUGAGAUACGGCCCAGACUCCUACGGGAGGCAGCAGUGAGGAAUAUUGCACAAUGGGCGGAAGCCUGAUGCAGCAACGCCGCGUGCGGGAUGACGGCCUUCGGGUUGUAAACCGCUUUCGCCUGUGACGAAGCGUGAGUGACGGUAAUGGGUAAAGAAGCACCGGCUAACUACGUG
rnacentral:rRNA from 1 species